rnacentral:misc_RNA from 1 species
GGGUAAACCUGAAUAUACAUAAAGAGACUCAAAACCUCUCAGUUUUCGACAUGAUCCUCGGGCCAUUUCUUUCUUCUUCUUUCCUCUGCCAAACUUGGUGGUGGGGUGGCACCGACACCUCCAAGUUUGGCAGAGCUUACAGUGGCGUGUGAUCUCAAUCUAUUAAUAUUAUCUGAGCUCUCUCUCUCCCUCCCUCUUUCUCUCCACUUUUUGUGGCCCAUGCUUAAAGGU